UUGCUCCUCAUGGAGUUUACUGUGAGCUUACAACAUUGGUACUUGGAAGGCCACAAUGAGGACUCCCUUCAACCUUCUCUUCUUCAAGAGUCCUUGGCCUGUCUUCCUAGGACAGAUGUGCUCCAGUCAUAUAAUCAUCUCCAUUUCUCUCCUCUGGACAUGCUCCAAAAGCUCCACAUCUUUCUUCUGUUGGAAGCCCAAGACCUGGCCACAGUACUGCAGAUGGGAAGUAGUGCAGAGAGAAAAUCACUUCCCUUGCCCUUCUGAACACUUCUCUUUUGAUGCAGCCCAGAAUACAGUUGGCUUUCUGGGCUGCAAAUGGACACUGCUGGCUUGUUUUCCACCUACCAGAACCUGUACAUACUUCUUGUCAGGGCUACUCCCAAUGAGUUCUUUUCUCAGUCUGUACAAACAUCUGGGAUUUUCCCAACUGAUGUGAAACACCUUACGUUUGGCCUCAUUAAACCUCACUAGAUUCCAAACCGUGAGCCUGUUCAGCUCCCUCUGAAUGUCUUCCUUUCCUUCUGUUGAAUCAACUGCACUACUCAGCAAGUUUACGCAUUAUUUUUUUGUUUUAUUUUUACAUACGAAAUUUUUUCUUCUACUUUGUAACUUCAGAUAUUAAUCCAGAAAAUAUUUCAAAUAGAAACUUGAUAGCAUCUGCAAGUGAUCAAAGAA